CUUUAUGGUAAAUAUAAGAACUAUCAGCAAAAGAAUAUUAAAAUAUGGAAUUUAAAAUUUUCAUUUAUUUUUUAUGUAUUUUUGAUUCCUGUAAAUUCUGUAAACUUUCAAUUGAAUUUAACGGAUAAAAACCAGUUUUUGUGAAGUUUAACCAGUAACCAAAAAUGGAAAACCAGUUUGUCUGGACUAAAACUAAACAAGUGGCAACACUACCAACAAUACUAGCAACUUUAAUGGUAAUGAAAUACCUGGUCAUUUGUUUUCUACUAAAUGUAAAAUUGUCCAAAUUUGAUUCCAUAUUCUUCAAAGUGGUAAAAUUGUUCAAAUUUGAAUCUAGCCACCAAUGUAGUAAAAUUGUCCAAAAUUCAACUCAGAUCCCAAGAUGAUUGCUUUAUUAUGCAGCCAUUGACUGAAUGUAAAUUUUUAGCCAUUUAUUUUAUCAAAAUAAUUUCCAAUCUUCCAUAGGCAAACUACCAUCUUAACUUUGAUAAAUUACUAAAUCAUUGUAAUUUAAUGAAGAUGGGUGAAAGCCCGGAAGUAAAAUCAUUAAAAUAUUUCUAGUUAAUAUGCUAUGAAAAUAGCCAAGUAUGGAAUAUCAAAAGGGGCAGUUAUAAAUUUGGAGUAUCAUAAGUCAAAUGAUCUUAAAUACAGGAGUGCCUAUACUGAUUUUGUUAAUCUUUACUUAUUUUAUUAUGGCUAAAUUUCAUUGGUGAGAACAAAACUUUUGUUUUUAAUAUUAUAUCUAUGGGAAACUGAUUGAUUCUUGGUUUUAUGAAUUCUUUGAGUGCAUUCCAGGAAUGAAUUUGUCAAAUCUGGAGCUAUUUAGAUAGCAUAUAAUGCUAUUAUGAGACCCAGUCCCUGCAUUUUUGAACUUUUAACAUCUCUCUAAAUUGCAUUUUAGUACCUGAGACUAUUUUUUUUUUGCUCUCUCUCCCCUUUCAGCAAACACAUCUCUCUUAAUUUUCACUGCAC
rnacentral:lncRNA from 1 species